GCUUUGUAUGUACCUUGGUCAGUAAAGCAUGAGACUCUUAAUCUCAGGGUUGUGGGUUUGAACCCCCACAUUGGGCA